CCUGGUUACUGGAGCGACCUGGCACCACCCUUUCCCAUCCCGAACAAGGAAGUGAAACGGGUCAGCGCCAAUGAUACUUUUUGACUUCGUCAAAAGGGAAAGUAGGUCGUAGCCGGGG
rnacentral:rRNA from 1 species